GCUACAUCUGCUAUAUCGCUCCGAGCGCCAUGUUCCUGCUCUCCCAGGGCGCACGCUGGGGAACUACUACGGCUGGUUUGAAGACAAAGUACAACUUCACCUGGAUUUCUGGAGUGCCUUUGUCAUUGUCACUGGAUCGUGUGUAAAUGAUAAAAGAUUGUGACUUGUCAUGUAGUAAAACUGUCAUUGUGGAGUACAGCAUGGAUUCUUUUGGAGAACUGGAGCAACUCUUCUAUUGCCUUUUUAAAUUUGGUGAUUUAAAAAGAAUUGGAGAACUGAUCAGAAUUUUGAAGAAGGUACCACAUGCUCACACCAAAUACCCGCUUCUUGGCCAAAUUUUCAUGAGAAUCGAAGAAGGUACUUUGAGAUGGGAAAAACCAAUAUGCUGUAAGCCAGUAUCAAAGCACUGGACUAUUGUCUCUUCUUAAUAAAUUUGAA